UGGUGGAGUGAUUUGUCUGGUUAAUUCCGUUAACGAACGAGACCUCAGCCUACUAAAUAGUUGGGCGAGCUUCCGGGCUCGUUUUCCAGCUUCUUAGAGGGACAUUCGGUUUCUAGCCGAAGGAAGUUUGAGGCAAUAACA
rnacentral:rRNA from 1 species